rnacentral:lncRNA from 1 species
UGAUCUUCAGACUGUCGACUCUGUAUUGCUUGUUCCUUCAGUUCGUUUGUAUUCAAACGACACGAUUUUACAUCAUGACCUUGGUGAUUACACACGUGCAGUAUUUAGGAAGAUUAUCAAAGACUAUCCGCUGGUCGUAUUCGAUUAUUUUCCCAAAUUUGGUAUCGACAAUCUUGAUCUUGACUUUCUGAGGAUGUUUGUCGAGCAAGUUAAUCAAGACUUUUACCCUUGCCGUACUAGGUCUCGUGCG